rnacentral:lncRNA from 10 species
CUGAAAACAGCUACUGAUGCUAUCCAUGAUCCAUUCACUCCUCUCCUUAAAGUAUGAAGCCUUUAUGUACUUUCUUCUCUUGAAAGAAGACCACAUAUCUCAGGGAGUACAAGCCUGGUUGGUGGAGCCACCAUAACCCUAGGAUCCUGAGUGUCCAAAUGAACCAGCCUAAAGCUGACAAAAAAUGAACACAUUUCACUGGAGAAGAAAAAAUAAGCUUCAGUUGUGUUAAGACUUCAAGACUUCAGAGUGAUUUUUAA